rnacentral:rRNA from 1 species
UGGGGAAUUUUGCACAAUGGAGGAAACUCUGAUGCAGCGACGCCGCGUGAGUGAUGAAGAUCUUCGGAUUGUAAAACUCUGUCCUUAGUGAAGAUAAUGACAGUAACUAAGAAGCAAGCCCUGGCUAAAUACGUGCCAGCAGCCGCGGUAAUACGUAUGGGGCAAGCGUUGUCCGGAAUUAUUGGGCGUAAAGGGUACGUAGGCGGUUUAAUAAGUCCUAAUUAAAAGGCUAUGGCUCAACCAUAGUAUGGUUAGGAAACUGUUGAACUUGAGUAGAUGAGGGGAAAGUGGAAUUCCAUGUGUAGCGGUGAAAUGCGUAGAUAUAUGGAGGAACACCAAUGGCGAAGGCAACUAUCUGGAAUCAAACUGACGCUGAGGUACGAAGGCGUGGGGAGCAAACAGG